CCUACGGGAGGCAGCAGUAGGGAAUCUUCCACAAUGGACGAAAGUCUGAUGGAGCAACGCCGCGUGAGUGAUGAAGGUUUUCGGAUCGUAAAACUCUGUUGUAAGGGAAGAACAAGUACGAGAGGGAAUGCUCGUACCUUGACGGUACCUUGCGAGAAAGCCACGGCUAACUACGCGCCAGCAGCCGCGGUAAUACGUAGGUGGCAAGCGUUGUACCGGAAUUAUUGGGCGUAAAGCGCGCGCAGGCGGCCUUUUAAAGUCUGAUGUGAAAGCCCCCGGCUCAACCGGGGAGGGUCAUUGGAAACUGGAAGGCUUGAGUACAGAAGAGAAGAGUGGAAUUCCAUGUGUAGCGGUGAAAUGCGUAGAGAUGUGGAGGAACACCAGUGGCGAAGGCGACUCUUUGGUCUGUAACUGACGCUGG
rnacentral:rRNA from 1 species